rnacentral:lncRNA from 1 species
CUGUUCUCUCUCUCUCUCUCUGUUCUCUUUCUCUCUCUCUCCCUCUGUUCUCUCUAUCUCUCUCUCUCUGUUCUCUCUCUCCCUCUCUGUUCUCUCCCUCCCUCUCAGUUCCCUGGUCCUGUCCUCUGUGUGUGUCGCUGUGCUGCAGCUCAACUCCAUUCAGAGCAGCGCUGCUUUGGCAGUGAGGGGACGACUCCGAGACGCUCAGAAAGAGAAGGAAACACAGACACAACUGAUACAGCAAGUUGUUGAAUUUCAACAGAACUCUGGAUAUGAACUAUUAAGUACAGAAUGGAUGAAAGUGGACCCACUAUACAACAUCUACAACUAUACACGGGGAAAUCCAGUUUCGUCCUUGAACUCACAGGCUCUGACUGAUGAAGGAGCAGCCCUCCUCUUUGGAUUGAAGAAUGGAAACAGGAUGUCCAUCUCACCGAGAUCCCUCUCUGAUGAUUGAGAUUGGAAGUGCAAGUCAAAUCUGUCUGGCCUGAUCUGCAUGUGGAGCCAGUGAAGACCUGGAGCCCAUAUGGAUGCCUUGGCUGAGUGGGUUAACUAUACCCUGAUUUGU